rnacentral:lncRNA from 1 species
AAUUAUUUUAACUAGGCAAUAAUUUGAUCUAUUUUGGGAAGCCUCUUGUAAUCAAAUCAUAUAUCAACAUUAAUCACAUGGUGAGUCCUCCAUGGUUUUCAUUCCUAGAGAUUCUAGGAUGUUUGACAUUUCUCUGCUUAGCUUAUAGCAGAAAGGUAUUGGAUAUCAAGAAUGUUUGAACAGUUUCUCCUUUUUGGGAAUGAAGAUGAAAUUGGGCUAGAAUGAGAUGUGUGAUUGAGAGAAUGUCCCUGAGGCCUGAGCAGUGUGUCCUUUUGGGUAUGGGCAUUGGAAGCAUGUAGUGAAUUCUUAUAAUUUUAUGUUGCCUCGGCAUCCAUCUUGAGUAUAAGUUUAACUUUGUUAUACCAGAAGCAAGGCUUACUCACUUUUGCACAGUUUCCAGUUCUACACCUCCUUCUCGUUCCUCAGUGUGAUUGGUCCAGAUAGCUGCCUUAUCCAACUGCCUCCUUUGGACCACUUCAUCAUGGGACAGCUUGAUGCAAUCUACUUGACAAGACCCUGGAACCCCACACCCCUCAUGGAACCAGUGUCCACCUCCCAGUCACAGUGUGACCCCAGGGAACUCUUGCCUGCUUGCUUUAAACCCACCACUUAAAAGUCUCCACAGAAAACCUGUUUGAAUAGUACCCUUGACCCAAUAAGGGCAUUGGCCCCUGGGUGUCUCUCUCUCUCUCUCUCUCUCUCUCUCCCUCUCUCUCCCUCUCUCUCUCUCGCUCCCUGACCUCUGCGUGUGGACUCCAGGCAUGCCAUAUACCCCUCAGGACCUGAAGCAAAAGAAUGAAUUAAAGAAAACUCCAGAGAAUGAGCUGACAACCUACUCCCUGGUCAGUGGCUCUCCAUGCCUACCUGUGGUCUCUUGGACACCCUUGCAGAAGAUGACUUCCUGGGAACUCUUCUGGGAGUGAAUGUUAUCAGCAAAUUCCCAAAACAACACCCCUUAGACAAAAAGCCUCCUCACCUAUGCAUUGCCUAGACCACCCACUAAAGGUGAUGGCCACAAAGAGGUGGAUUUGUUGAGUUGGUGCCAUUCCUUCUACUGCCAGCUUCACCAAAACAAUGACACAGUCUUCCUUCCGCAUGGAGACUCUUCUCUUUCCUGUGUUGCAGUGGAUGCCUCCUGCAGAUAAGAAAUGCUUAACUGAGAAAUGCUCAUGUUGGGAUAUCAUCGAUGAGACUUUAAUUUGGGCAUGGUGACUGUUUCCCUUGCUGCCACUUGACUCAAUCCCAGGAGCCUCAGUAGAGGAUAUAAUAUUACACAAGAUGCUCAAAAUGGUGGAAUUGCUCAGUGCUCCCAUAAAUAUACAUUUAUAAUUUUCAUUUGCCACAUGGUAAACUGAAAAAUACAGACUAUAUUAAAAAGAAACUGCAUGAUUUUUUUUCAAAAAUUCAAAGCAUAUUUAAAUAAUAUAUAAAUUAAAUGCCCUCCUCUCUUCCAAUUCUGUCCCUAUAGUUUUCCUCUAUUAAGUGAACUACAUGCAUUCUUUUAGUGGAUAGAUGCACACAAACACACAAGCCAUUAUGGGGAAGGAUCCACGUGUGUGGCCAUAUUGUAACACAUUUUUCUGCAAAUCACCUCUUUCAUUUAACAGCCCUUAUUCAAUGGCCUUUUUCUUUUUCAGUAGUACAUACACAUCUGUGUCAUUUGUUGAAUGACGACAUGAAUGUUUUGUAGAUAAAAUAUAAUUAAAUGUUUUAAGCAUUUCUCACUCAUAGAUAUUUAUGUUAGCACCAAAUUUCUGUGCAAUGAACCUCCCUAUAUAUCAGUAAUUUUGCAUUUGUCUAUAAUAUCAUAAUAAAUUACUUAUCAGUUGAAUUACUGGGAUUAAGUAUGUGCACACUUUAUAUUUAUAUUUUGAAAAUUAUUGCAAGAUUGCCUUCAAAAAUGUGGUUAACAACUUUAUCUUCAAAUGGCAAUGAAUGAGAUUGCCAGCUUUCCUACAGCCUCACAGACAAUGGAUUUUAUAAAUAUUUAACAUUUUUGCCAAUGUGAUCACCCAAACUAUUGUCUUAAAUUGUAUCUCUUUUGUUUUUGAGUUUGGUCAUUUUUUCAUGUUUAUUAGCCAUCUGUAUUUUUUAAUUUCUUCUUUAUGUCCAAUUUUGUGGGUGGGAGGAGGAUUUAGUCUCUUCCUGAUUUCGAAGAGCUCAUUUACUAUUUCGGGAAAUAAGAUUUGGAUUGUCAACCAUUAUAGCUAUUUUUUACACACUUUUCAACUUUGUUUUUGUUA